UAAUAUACCGGUUCUCGUUAGAUCACCGAAGUUAAGCAUCAUUGGGCGCGGUCAGUACUUGGGUGGGUGACCACCUGGGAACACCGCGUGCCGUU
rnacentral:rRNA from 1 species